ACCCUACUUCACCAAUUCUUUCAUGCAUACCAGAAAAGACUCUCGUCCAAGUUUUCCCCUUCUCCUUCCUGACUAACUCUGGUGCCUCCCUGCGCAGCCCCUGGAGCGUGGCAUGUCCCCUCCUCUAGGAAUAUCGUAUGCCGUGGCAGAUGGUAGGUGAUACAGCGACGUAUUCAGUUAGAUGAGCUCCUUGCUAACAACUGCUUGUCCCACCUCCUCACUCGAGGAGCUGGGACGUUCUCGUACCUGUCCUAAGAAAUCCAUCAAAACCAGGACAACAUUGUCAAAUGCAGGCCCAAGGUGUCCAUCUGCUGUGGAGAAGAUUAGGAUUUGCUGCUGAAGUAACAAAGAAGGAUAAGGGUGAUUUUCACUUAUAACAUGCAGAAUAGGAUUAGGCAAAAACAAUAGCUUUACUAGCCAGGCAUUUGUAUUGAGAGGAUUUUCCAAAAGUCUCUAAUAGCCUUCAUGAAAGGCCAUUGAGGGAGGGACACUUCUAUUGCGAUGAGAAGCUGUCCCUUUCCCCUUAAGACAAGAAAGCUGGUGAACCUUAUUGCUCAAUACGGGGAGGAUGUAACAAAAGAGAAAUCAAAGAACAAAAACAAACAGGAAGAGCCUGGAGAAGACUGGGGAGUGGAGAACAAGGAGAGCGAGUCAGGACGGGCUUUGAACCCGACAAAGGGGGUUACUCUCAAUAAAGGCGGGCGUGAGGAGAGCACCAAGGGCAAGAACGGUCUGUCGCUCCCUCCCGUCUUCUGUUAGGGUCCUGGAAGAGACCACCCAACCUCGAACUUGGCUCCUGCAAACGGGUCCUGCAGUGUCGUUGGGCAGAGAAGGCUCUGAGCCACUCUUGUUCCCAAUGGACAGGAAUUCUGAAUUGAGAACCGAGAAUCCUGACAGUCAGGAUACCAUACGCGGAGGAAGACCAAGAAUCGCGGGCAACCGUCAGGACCUGGGAGAGAGACGUGGAAACGAUUCUCUCAGAACCUCCAGUUUGAACCAACACUGCAGACACUUUGAUCUGGGGCUUCUAGCCUCCAGAACUAUACAAGGAUAAAUUUCUGUUGUGCUAAAUCACUCAGUUUGUGGUGGUUUUUUUGUUUGUUUGUUUUUUUACAGCAGCCUUAGCAGACCAGCACAAGUACCAUGUGAGGGGUGGCUUCAACAGGGCAUUAGCAUAGGACUGGGAAACACAGUGAAAGGGGAAUCUUUUCCAUGAAAAGCCGGACGCUCUGUCUCAUGGGCGUGGUAUAGAAGUGACUGACUGCAGGCAACAGCUACACAGAGUGGCCAGCUCAGCCAGAAAGAUGCGGGAAACCUAAAAAAGAGACCUCUCCAUACACAGAAGCUCUACUGUCAUUCCCAGAAGAAACCAGGCCUGUGGUGGGCCAAGAUGGAAGUCAGUCUCAGCAUGUAGGACAAAGACAUUUCUAAUCGUAGAGCAAAGGAAAUGAGGAAUUUAUGACAAAGCUCAAAC
ensembl:lncRNA